GUCUAUGGCCAUGCUACCCUGAACAAGCCCGAUGUCUGAUCUGGGAAGCUAAACAGGGUCGGGCCUGGUUAGUACUUGGAUGGGAGACCACCUAGGAAGACCAGGUGCUAUAGGCA
rfam:Pteropus alecto contig91253, whole genome shotgun sequence.